AGGGUCCUAGCACAAAUCGAUAACCCUGAAUUAUUUAUUCUGGAUCUGUUCUGUGCCGUUGUUUGAAGGUUGGGCACCGUGUUAUCUCCCUCUGCAACUACACACGUCUGGUCUCGUCUGGUCUCUGCUCUCGUCAAGCCGGUGCGAUGGAAAGCAACUCUCUCUCGUCAAGCCCGUGCAAGGUUAAGGAGAUUCUCAAACGCCGCAAGAGGGAGAAAGAAAUUAGAAAGAGAAAACGAAUAAUCAAUCUAGUGCACCUGAUUCGUUGCUGUCCUGGUUACUGAAGCCGAUCUCUAUCGUCAUUUCCAUGACAUAUCUGAUGUUGGAGAUGGAGAUGUUAUAGAAGUAAUGGUGCACAACCAUGAACAUAAACAUUAUGGGUAUCUUGAAUUCAGGACAAGAGAAGUGGCAUUAUCGGCUAUGGAGAAGGGGCAUCAUACUAUUCUCUGUGACAAGAAAAUCAAGUGUUACCCUACCUCAUUAGUAAAGCAAGAUCUGGUUGUUUUUUCCCCAUGAAGUUCAGGAGCAGGAGAAGCUUAUAUGCCAGCCACUGGGCCGCAAUAAGUAUUUGACAGACCUCUUGUUUUAAGUUAAUUUCCUUGUAUUGUAGUUUUUAAACGGUUAGACUGUUGAACAUCUAUCUGUAAUUAUUGUCGAAAAUUGUCUGUUUUUCAUUGAGAGUACUCGUAAGUCACAGUUCUCAAUCAGGAAGCUGUUAAUAUUUUUUACCUGAACUCUUGAUAAUUCCAAGGAUCGAGGGCAGGGCAGGCGAGGGCUGAUUCGC
rnacentral:sRNA from 1 species